UGCUCUGUUGCCAAUAGACUGGAGUAGGGCAGGGGUGGGGGUGGGGGUGCAGUAGGAAGACCAAGUAGGAGGCAAUUGCAAUGAUCCAAACCGAGAGAUUGUGGUGGUUUGGACCAAGAGGGUAGCAACGGAGGUAGUGAGAAGUGGAUCAACUCGGAAAAUGGUUUGAAGGUCCAACCCAGUCUCCUGUUAUGUGUGGAGUGGCACUCAGUGAAUGUCAGUGGGAGAGGCUGGGCUGCUUGUCCAAACAAGCCCGGGAGGAAGGCAGGACCAGAAGGGGGGGGGUCAUCAAUGGGUAAGUCUGCCGCGGGAGAUAAUGACAACAGGGAAGUCUGGACGUAAACAGCUUGUGUGGUUAUGAAGGAAUUGUGGACCUAACAGAAAUGAACCACAGGGAGAGAGAGUCAUAGAGAACAGGCUCAUUGGGAAGCACAAUGAAGCAGUCAGAUAUACGUGAGAAAAGGGAUGAUAGCUGGGUGGGGAUUUCAGGAAGAAGAACUAGAAAAAUGUGCCCAGGACAGGUAACACGAAAGCGACUUACAGCAUUCCUGACGUUGGCUGGUAGUUCUGUCAUAUACUUCCACCUAUCACAAGGAAAACCAGAGCAUAAGCAGGAAGAUUAGUCCUGAGCUAACAUCUGCUGCCAAUCCUCCACUUUUUGCUGCUGGGGAAGACUGGCCCUGAGCUAACAUCUGUGCCCAUCUUCCUCUAUUUUAUAUGUGGGACGGCUGCCACAGCAUGGCUUGACAAGCGGUGUGUAGGUCCACACCCGGGAUCUGGACCAGCGAACCCUGGGCCACUGAAGCAGAACGUGCAAACUUAACUGCUUAGCCACUGGGCCGGCCCCUCCGACUCCAUUUUUUGAUGUUUGACUGCUGACUGCUUUGAAGCCUCAUGGUGCCCUCUUUCCUUUCUGCCCGACAUCUUGGCAAGCUGAUAAGAAAGCCUGGGUGCUCCCUCCUUUGGCACGGGUGGGAAGUCCAAACUGUGCAAGCCCCUGCCACAUGUGUGGGAACCCUUGCCCCAGCCCCACCUCCUAACCACCACAAUACCCUCAAGCCAGUAUCCUUUCUCUCCUCUCUCCAGCCAUUUUUAGACCAGUGUGUGAGUCCGCCCUGCUCCCCGCAGAAAGACUUGUGAUGGAAAUGUCUUUUGUUUCUUCUUCUUGCCUCAGUGCAUGAGCGAGGGCCUCUAGUACACUACCGAAUACAAAUGAAUUCACUAAUGAAGCUAUCCGGGGCUGUACUGUUCUUUCCAGGAAAGUUUAAGAUUACAGGACAAGGGACUAAAAGAAGUGUCUAUUUCAGGAGCCUCUCAGCUGCGGUUUGUCUUCACUUACUAAGGGACACAACAACCUUUCCAGGCUACCCAUGGGGUACCUCAACAGCUUUGCCAUCUCACACAAUCUUUGCAGACAAGAUGCUAAUUACACCCACCUUUCUCCAGGAGCACAG
rnacentral:lncRNA from 1 species